GGCAAGGUGGCCGAGUGGUUAAGGCGCACGGUUCAGGCAUACCUGAGCUACCGUUUCUUGUCCUCCUUUCACGAACUGUGAAAUUGAGCGUGAACAUCCGUGUUCUUAAUUGAGCGUGGGUUCGAAUCCCACCCUUGUCA
rnacentral:tRNA from 1 species